UUUAAAACCCUAAUUUUUCUCAGCAACAUUCAUUGAGAGAUUUUACAAAAACCUCCCCCUCCUCGGAACCACAGCCUCAAAAUACUAAAAAUCUAAUCAUGACUGGCUGCUCGCUCAUUCCAUUCUCACCAAAUCCAGACUUUGUUUUGCCUAGAAUUAGUUUAUCUUCCUUCAAUUGUUGGACGAUUCUAAAAAGAAAUCUUGUUUGGCAUUCUCACAACUGUUCAAGGAACACAAUAAUGUUCAAUGAAAGGGCGAAGGUUCAGUAGUGAGAACAACCCUGGGUUCAUUUGUUUAUUUGCUUGACUUCACUGGAGGUGAUGGAAACAUUUGCAACAGGAAUGUACAAAAUGAAGUUGAUUGGUACAAGCAACAACAGAUCACCAGAAAGAGGAGGAUCAAUUGCAGUGGAGUUCUUUUGGUUCAAAAGGACAGGUAAAGCUGACAGGUUUUCCAACCUGAAUAUUUGUUCGUGUACACAAAAUAAAGUACUAAGAAAGAGCAAAAUAACUAACAUAGACACAAUUGCUGAAAGUAGAAGUAUCACUCCAGUAGUUAGGCAUGGGAAAAGGUUAGAUAUCCACCGUAUGAUUCGGAUCCUGAAAUCGUAUCCUCAUCCAAACGAAGCAUUGGAGUUUUUCCAAUGGGCUGCCAGGCAGCCGGGUUUUAAUCACACCACAGAGUCUUAUAAUUCCAUCUUAGAAAUCCUGGGAGCGGCCCAGAUGUUGAAAGAAAUGGCAAACAUUUUCAGCUUGAUGCAAAAACAACGAUGUGGGCUUGAUUCUCAAACCUAUAUAAUAAUGCUUCACGGCCUUGGAAUAGAUGGAGGUAUCGAACAGGUUCCAGGGGCCCUUGAAAAGAUGAGAAAGUCUGGGUUUGUGCUCAGUGGUUUUGCAUACAAUGGUCUGGUAGGUUUACUUCUAAAAUCUGGAUUCAGGGAUGAAGCUAUGAAAGUGUACACGAAGAUGUUGUUUGAAGGAAUUUUGCCCAGCAUGAAAUGUUUUUCUGCUCUAAUGUAUGCCUGUGGUAAAAUGGGAGAUGCAUGGCUGGUGCUGGAACUUCUGGCUCAUAUGCAAAAACUUGGCUUGACACCCAAUGCUUACACCUUCACAAUCUGCAUCAAGAUCCUUGGGAGAGCUGGUAGGGUAGACGAGGCUCGUGCAAUGUGGAGACAGAUGAAGAGAGAGGGUUGUGAAUUGGAUGUUGUAGCUUACACCACAUUAAUGGGUGUACUUUGUAGUGCAGGUAGACUGAACGAGGCAAGGGUAUUACUGAACGAGAUGAAAAGCAGCCAAUGCAGGCCAGAUUAUGUCACAUACAAUACUCUGAUUGAUAAGUAUGGGGAUUCGGGCAAUGUUGAUGCUGCUUGGGAGGUUUGGAAGGAGAUGGAGGCAGACGGAUGUGGGCCGAAUGUGGUAACCUUUACUAGUCUUAUCAAUGCCCUUUGCAAUGGUAGCAAGGUUGAUGACGCACUUGGAUUUUUAGGUGGAAUGGUAAAAAGAGGUCACUCUCCCAACUUGUGCACUUAUAAUUCUAUAAUUAGAGGCCUUCUCAAGAGUAACAGAUUGGAUGAAGCACAAAAGCUUUUGCAGUUUUUGCAAACUCAUGGGUGGGAUCAAUCCAUAUCUUUCACGUACAAUAUAUUCAUAGAUUACUAUGGGAAAAAUGGUAAGUCUGAUGAGGCCUAUGGGAUGUUCCUGCUGAUGAAGCAGAAAGGAAUUUACCCAGAUGUUGUUUCCUUCAAUGUUUGUAUGGAUAGCCUUGGAAGAGCGGGUAGGAUUGAUGAAGUGAACAAGCUUUUUAAAGAAAUGAGAGAAAUGAGGAUUUCUCCUGAUGUGAUUACUUACAAUGUGAUGAUAUAUGCCCAUGGCAACACAGGUAAAGUGGAUGAAGCUAUUAAUAUGCUUUCGCAGAUGAUAGAAAAUGGAUGUGAUCCUGACACUGUUACUAUCAAUACUCUGAUUGAUAUUCUGUACAAGACAGACAGAAGAGAUGAGGCAUGGAAAAUGUUCAAGAAAAUGCAGGAGAUGAAUCUUCCCCCUACUGUUGUGACCUACAAUAUUCUAGUGGAUGGACUUGGUAAAGAUGGAAGGGUUAUAAAAGCAGUAGAUUUGUUACAGGAAAUGAAGGAAAGAGGAUACAUGCCAAAUAAUAACACAUACAAUUCGAUCUUGAAUGGUCUCUGUAAAAAUAAUGAGAUGGAUUUGGCAUUCAAAAUGAUGGAGGAGAUGACAAAAAAUGGCUUUAUCCCUGAUGAUUUUACAUACAGUAUUUUGCUUGAUGGUCUCAUCAAACUGGAUAGAAUGGAUGAUGCUUGUCAGCUCUUUAAAGACAUGAAAAAUAAGAUUUCUCCGAAUCCUGUAACUUUGGCUACUCUUCUACGGGGGCUUGUAAAAGCUGGAAAGAUGGACUUGGCUUUGAAGCUGUUCAAAGAGUUGCAUUGUGAAAUAGGAUUACUGCCUGAUGAUGAUGCUUGUGCAGUCCUAAUUGAUGGGCUGGGCAAAGAAGACAGAUUGGAUGAUGCAAUCUUGAUCUAUAAGCAGAUGUUGGCCAAAGCUGAUCAUCAUUAUGUUUGUGCUCUAAGCUUUCUCAUUCAGUAUCUAUGUAAAGCAGGAAGAGUCUUUGAUGCUUAUAAAUUAUUUGAAGAAUCAAAAUGCCAAAAUAUUGUUCUUAGCGUUAAAUCUUACAGUGCUCUUAUUGAUGGGCUAUGUAAAGCUGAUCGUAUUCACAUGGCUUGGGAUACUUUCAAACAGAUGAAGAAAUUAGGUUGUAUUCCAAAUGCUUUUACUUACAAUGCUUUCUUUGAUGCUCUUGGAAAGGCUGGCAAGAUAGAUGUCGCUUUUGAGCUGCUUGAUGAGAUGCGGUCGAGAGGGUGCAUGAUGAGCACUAUAAAUUACAAUACACUUAUUUCAGGUCUUGUAAAGGCCGGUAGAGUUGAUGAUGCCAUAGAUUUGUACGAUAAUAUGAUGAAGAGAGGAUAUACACCCUCCUGCUCUACAUACGGUCCGCUGAUUGCUGGUCUCGGUAAGGCAGCUAGGAUAAAUGAAGCAGAGGAUCUAUUUGAAGAAAUGAUUGAAAAGGGAUGCAAGCCUGAUUGUGCAGUCUACAAUAUUUUUAUCCAUGCCCUUGGAAAGCUAGGGGAUGUAGAUGAAGCUUGUCAUCUGUUCAAGAUAUUUACUUAUUGGAUUAGGAGGUCAGGAUUCAGGAGUACUUUCUAUCAUGGGGGCAUUCACAAUUAAAAAGGGCAGAAGUUUGGGAAGUGAUGCUACUGAUAAAAGAAACAAGGAUAUGCUAUCAAUAUCACAGUCUUUGCUGACUUGUAAUCACUCUGGGACUUGUACGGACACAAGAUCAAGGGAUCAUGUGGUCACUAUGUAAUGUCUAAAGGUUACCACACCACAUUUAAUCACUAUACCAUCUUCAGCCAAAACAGAGAACCAUACUAACAUGAAGAUAAAUAUCAGAAACUUAUUUAUCUUGUAAGUUUCCUGUUAAGGAGGAUAGCUUCAUGCUAUUCAAAUCAGAGAAUCGGAUGCUGUACCUUAUCAUGAUGAACAAUGCAGUUUCAGGUCUGCAUAUACUUGCUGCGUUUGCUGAAAGGCAUUGAAGCUGCCAUAAAUCUGCCCAUACCAUGGCUGAGGAAAGGGCAUGAACUUGCUGGGGUAAAGCGUCUUAUGUUUAAGGCCAUAUUUCUUGUUGUAUGGAGUCACCAACUCUGCUCAUAUAUUUCUAAAUGGUUUGAUGUUGGAAUUUGGUGAUUUUAUGGAGUUAUGAUGACUUUUCUGGGUAUUGUACCUGCUGUGCCAAUGCACCUUACUGAUCUGAGUUACCUUUCUUUCCUACCAGGGUGUUGUGGUGAAAUUUGGAUGAUUUUGAAGUGGUAUGUUUAUGGUCAACUUGUAUAUGUUGUGUGAGUUUCAAAUUUCUGGGCAAUUAUCUUGGCUGUACAGACCUGUUGCAGUGAAUUUCAGUGCACUUUCAAACCUGCACCAACUUUCUUAUUCAUACACUUAAGGAGAGUGUUCAUAUAUGGUAGGAUAGUACCAAUUGUGCUGAGACCUAUGGUGUUGGUUUUAUUAGAGCAAGUUAUGUUGAUUGUGAAGAAGAAUAUACCACACAUGCAGAAGAUGGAGGCAAAGAGCUUUUGAGAGGGAAUAACAUGCCGAAAUGCUCCCCCUGCUAAUGGGGUAGCAGGGGAAGAAAGGAGCAACAUUUAGCAAGUAAAUGGAUUCCUCCUGGUGAUGGAUUUCUUGAGCUUUUAUUUUUGAUGGUGCAGUGAAAGGGAAUCUGGGUCCUACAGGAGCAUAUGUGCAUAUUAGGACUACUUUGGAAACCUUUGUCAAAGGCAGUUCUUUCUUCCUUGGUUUCACAUCGGACAAUGAAGCAGAAGUGUUAACUCUCCUUGAAGGUUUGAAACUCGCUUCAUGUUUGAAGUGCAAGCUUUUCGAGGCAGAAGGAGAUUCUCAAGCCAUUACAUCUGGUUGUGUCAAAGAUAGCCUAUGUGAUUGGAAUCUUAGAAACAAUAGUAAGUGAAACUGAUUGGCAGUGGCUUUGACAUUGUUAAAUUUAGCCAUUGUCACAGAGAGAGUAACUAUAUAGUGAAUGUAGGUGAGAAUUAACAUCCCCUUUUGGUUAAAAGCAGUGUUGAUCCUAGCAAAUGGGAGAUUGCAGAUCUUCUAAGGGCAAUGCAUCUUCUUCCGUUCCACUACCUAUACCAACUUUCCAUUUGCAGGAAUGAUGAUGAUCCCCUUUUAUCAUCAGGCAGGAUAUAUUAAUGUUUAACAGCUGAAGUUCUUCAAACUUUUUUUUCAUGUAUCCUUAUGGGAUGAUCAAGGAUUGUAGGUGCAGGCAGGUAACAAUUUGAUUUUUAAUCCUGCCUGGGUUUUUUGUGACAUUCAUCAGCUUUUCUUGUGGAGCCUCUGUUGGUUUUGCUUGUAGGUUUGUGCUGAUUUUUCCUCCAUUCAUGAAGGAUGCUGUGUGGAAAAAAGAAGCCUGAGACACUCCAUAUGAUGGAGUUGUUUUGGACCAGAGACUCAAAAGGACAUUUAACAUCAAAGAUUAUGCCACGCUGGCCUUUGUGAAAGAGGUGCUUGGGGAGGAUGGCCUAGGGAAGACUGGAGUUUUAUGAGCAAGAGAGUCCAUAGCUGUCAACUUUGCUUUGAAAUUGGAGGCUUGGAUGGAUGAUUAUCCAGCCAGAGAAUGGAUGUUGCUUCCCUUUCCUUGUCUCAAGAGGUGCUCUAUGUAGAGCAAAGUUCAGAGGAAUGCCGCCAGGGAAUGAAUAUUUCACUCCCUUUCCCUGUAUCAAGAGGAUGUCCUCUAUCUAGGGGAAAAGAUUCUGCUUCUGGAAAUUUGUGGUGGUAAGGCUGGUAUAUUUGGAGUUUCUCAUGUCAGCUGUUCAGAUCCUUCUGCUAAGUUUGUUGAGGAUAUAUGCCAACAACCUUAGAACUAUUUUUAAGGAAGUGCUUUACUUAUUGGAAGAGUAUGCAUAUGUCGCAUGGAAAGAAAGUAUUACAUUGGAAAGAGAGGUAUAAAUGUUUCUGGCAAUUUAAAGAUCUGAGAUAGAUCUUUACUUUCAAGCAUCCAUGAAAUUUUCUUGAAGAAUAGGCUGUUGAAAUCAUGAAGAGGAGGAAAGUAGAAAAAGUUUCAAAAGAAAAAUUUUAAAAAUUGAGGUAAGAGAAGCUGAUAGAAAAAGAAGAGAAAGAAGGGGCUCUAUUUGCUGAAGUUUCUGACUCUUCUUAGAGAAUGGCUGACAAUAUGGAGGUGGAAAAUCUUGAAUGAGCGUGGAACUGAUUUUGCAUUUUCCAUUAUCGAACCUGAAAUAUUGAGCAAUUGAUAGGCAUGGGAGUGCUUACCCAGCUUGGAACAAUCAGUGGACCAGUGCCUUGGGACAUAGAAGAUAUUUUACAGGCAACAGGAUUUUCCACUGGCCAAGUCAAUAACAGCCUUCUGCAUACGACAAAUGGCAUAAACAGUAGUUUGGAAAUGACAUCCCAACAGCAUAUGCUGCCCAUGCUUAUUUCAAGUACAUCUUUGUUGAUAUUCCGUUUGCAUUAUUAACAUAACCAAAAUUGUGUAUUACCAAAGAAGUGGGGUAUAGUCUCAUCUCUUGUAGUGGUUAUUACUCUUUCCUCAUCAAAAUAUAUCAUUUUUCCAGUCCAGGUUGAUUUAGGUAAUCUUUAGUCUGGU